UGGAAAUCAAAGGAUUGCACUGCAAUUAUAUAACAUGAAAAUGAAAAUAUGAACAUGUGGAAAGAGGAUGAGGAUCUGGAAGAGCACGUGGAAGUGGAAAUGGGCUGGUGGAUUCCUGGUUGUUCCUGUGGUCACCAGUGCAACUGAGGGACCCAUCUGAGUGACAGCAGGGGCAGUAGGCUUGAUGUGAAGUCCACAGAAGUGAAGGAAUAAACCCUUAUCAGCUCUGGCCCAGCCCCUCACACAGCACACAGAGUCAUUUAGGCUGAAAGAGGUAAACUGUUACAAGAUCUUCAAGGAACAAAGACUGAUUAAGGAUAAUCUUGUAGAAAAUGUUACCUUUUUAUGGAUGCAUUUAACAUGGGAAAUACUGUGGAAUUCAGCCAAAAAUCCAGCUCGUAUGCCAAGAAAGCCCAAAUGAAGAGAUGAGUGGAAAAUACCAGAUGCUUAAAUUUGUCUUGGAUUUUCUCAAAACUGCUAAGACUGGUUUUCUCCUUAAUUAGCCAAAUAAGGGAUGGAGUGCAUUUCUUUUUCAUGUACAGAUAUUUCUUGGAUGCUGUGAGUUAACCACCUCUAGGGCACUGCUGUCCCUGUCAGAGGAGGAGACAGAUGUGGCUUUCUUUGACAGCGUGAAGAGGAGAUGAGUGCUGUGGAGGACAUCCCAUCCUCUUCACCCAUGACACUGCUGCCCUGCCAGGAUUCCCCCAAGACUGAGAUUCCUGAGACUGCUGCUGUCUGGAAGUCAGCUUACAUUUCUGUCCUGAGAAGGAAAUACUCUCAAUGCAUAAUUUUUUUUUCAAACUAGGCAAGAUUUAUUUUCAGUCCAAGAGUUGUCUUUUGUUCAGUGCUUAGUUUGUUGUGUCACUUGUAAUGACUACAGUAAUAUCUGGAAAAAGAGAUAACUAGAAAAGCCUGCAGCACUUGAUUAUUCUGCUCAGAAUAUCUGAUAUAGCCCUUUCAGACAGCAGAUGUAAGUAGUAUGAAUGCAUACAAUUUCAUAGUAAUCUUAAUAAUCCAGUUACUCCCAUAAUUUUAUAUUAUAUACAAAUAUAUUAUUAUUAAUGUCACACUUAGAAAAA